UACGUAGGGACCGAGCGUUGUCCGGAAUCAUUGGGCGUAAAGAGCGUGUAGGCGGCUAUUUAAGUCCUGACGUGAAAUCCUGCGGCUCAACCGCAGACGGUCGUGGGAAACUGGAUGGCUAGAGUGCGGGAGAGGAGAGUGGAAUUCCCGGUGUAGCGGUGAAAUGCGCAGAUAUCGGGAAGAACACCCGUGGCGAAGGCGGCUCUCUGGAACGCAACUGACGCUGAGACGCGAAAGCGUGGGGAGCAA
rnacentral:rRNA from 1 species